rnacentral:lncRNA from 1 species
UGGACCCCAACUGACUGACAUACCACUGCAUUCUUAGAAGAUUAAUUGUUGUCAAAACAACAGUGUAAACCCUGCUCUAAGUGCCAAGAGAGGUGGGUAAUCUGGUAUAGAAAAGACUUGUAGGGGAAGUAGAGGUGAGAGUAUAGUUUUAGGGGGGUCUCACAGCAUGGAAUCAGCACCAGUGAAUGGAAGUUAAGAGAAGUAUUUUAACAACGAAAAAAAAAUUUUUUUGAGACGGGGUCUCUGUCACUCAGGCUGGAGUACAGUGGCAUGAUCACAGCACACUGCAGCCUCGACCUGUUGGACUGAAGUGAUCCUCCCACUUUAGCCCCCCGAGUAGCUGGGACUACAGGCGUAAGCCACCAGGCUUGUCUUAAUUUUAUUUUUUGUAGAGACAGGAUCUCACUAUGUUGGCCAGGCUGAUCUUGAACUUCUGUCCUCAAGCAAUCCUCCCACCUGGGCCUCCCAAAGUGCUGGAAUUACAGAUGUGAGCCACUGUGCCUGGCAGAAUUUUAUAUUAGACAAAGCUAUCUGAAGAUGAAGUAGGUAGCUUUGGAAAAGAAUGAAUUUCCCAUUGUUUAGGGCAUUCAAGCAGAAGCUUGGUGAUCCCUUUACUGAUAUGUUGGAGGGCAAUUUCCAGAAUUUAGUUUAACUGGCUGGCUGAACUACAUGAUUUUGAAGAAUCCUUCCAACUGUAAGGUUUUUCAUUUGUUCUGUUUUUUUAG